AUUGAACGCUGGCGGCAGGCCUAACACAUGCAAGUCGAGCGGAUGAAGAGAGCUUGCUCUCUGAUUUAGCGGCGGACGGGUGAGUAAUGCCUAGGAAUCUGCCUGGUAGUGGGGGAUAACGUUCCGAAAGGAACGCUAAUACCGCAUACGUCCUACGGGGGAAAGCAGGGGACCUUCGGGCCUUGCGCUAUCAGAUGAGCCUAGGUCGGAUUAGCUAGUUGGUGAGGUAAAGGCUCACCAAGGCGACGAUCCGUAACUGGUCUGAGAGGAUGAUCAGUCACACUGGAACUGAGACACGGUCCAGACUCCUACGGGAGGCAGCAGUGGGGAAUAUUGGACAAUGGGCGAAAGCCUGAUCCAGCCAUGCCGCGUGUGUGAAGAAGGUCUUCGGAUUGUAAAGCACUUUAAGUUGGGAGGAAGGGCAGUAAGCUAAUACCUUGCUGUUUUGACGUUACCGACAGAAUAAGCACCGGCUAACUUCGUGCCAGCCGCCGCAGUAAGAC
rnacentral:rRNA from 1 species